GUGCUCGCUUCGGCAGCACCCAUACUAAAAUUGGAACGGUACAGAGAGGGUUAUCAUGGCCCCUGUGAAAGGAUGACAUGCAAAUUCGUGAAGCGUUCCCUAUUUUU
ensembl:snRNA U6 U6 spliceosomal RNA